rnacentral:rRNA from 1 species
UACGUAGGGGGCGAGCGUUGUCCGGAGUUACUGGGCGUAAAGCGCUUGUAGGCGGUCCAUCAAGUUUGGGGUGACAGUUGCCGACUUAAUCGGCAAAGCGCCUCAAAGACUGGCGGACUUGAGGGCCACAGAGGGACAUGGAACUCCAGGUGUAGUGGUGAAAUGCGUAGAUAUCUGGAAGAACACCAAAGGCGAAGGCAGUGUCCUGGGUGGUCGCUGACGCUGAGAGGCGAAAGCCAGGGGAGCGAACGGG